GAGGUUGGAUAUUAAACAGAGCAGCCCUACAAAGAAAAGGGAAGUCAUUUAUGUCCCGGACACAGAUAUCGAAUGAAUCCUCGCCCAGCGGGUCACAGAGGCGUAUACGAGCUAAAAGUAAGGAUGAUGGACCAAACAAGGGAGACAAAGCCUUUGGUUCAGAAUAUUCAAGUAGCCAAAAGCGUUUCUCGCUAACAACGAAAAAGAAAAAAUCCUUGAAUCAACCC
rnacentral:sRNA from 1 species